rnacentral:misc_RNA from 1 species
GAUGAAGAACGUAGUGAAAUGCGAUAAGUAAUGUGAAUUGCAGAAUUCAGUGAAUCAUCGAAUCUUUGAACGCACAUUGCGCCCGCCAGUAUUCUGGCGGGCAUGCCUGUUCGAGCGUCAUUUCAACCAUCAAGCCCCCGGCUUGUGUUGGGGACCUGCGGCUGCCGCAGGCCCUGAAAAGCAGUGGCGGGCUCGCUGUCACACCGAGCGUAGUAGCAUACAUCUCGCUCUGGGCGUGCUGCGGGUUCCGGCCGUUAAACCACCUUCAUAACCCAAGGUUGACCUCCGAUCAGGUAGGAAGACCCGCUGAACUUAAGCAUAUCAAUAAGCGGAGGA